GGGGGGACCAGUACAGAGUCAAUGUGGAGGCUAUAUACAGGGGGUACCGGUACAGAGUCAAUGUGGAGGAUAUAUACAGGGGGGUACCAGUACAGAGUCAAUGUGGAGGCUUUAUACAGGGGGUACCGGUACAGAGUCAAUGUGGAGGCAAUAUACAGGGGUUACCGGUACAGAGUCAAUGUGGAGGCUAUAUACAGGGGGUACCGGUACAGAGUCAACGUGGAGGCUAUAUACAGGGGGUACCGGUACAGAGUCAAUGUGGAGGCUAUAUACAGGGGUUACCGAUACAGAGUCAAUGUGGAGGAAAUAUACAGGGUGUUACGGUACAGAGUCAAUGUGGAGGCUAUAUACAGGGGGGUACCAGUACAGAGUCAAUGUGGAGACUAUAUACAGGGUGUUACGGUACAGAGUCAAUGUGGAGGCUAUAUACAGGGGGUACCAGUACAGAGUCAAUGUGGAGGCUAUAUACAGGGGGUACCGGUACAGAGUCAAUGUGGAGGCUAUAUACAGGGGGGUACCGGUACAGAGUCAAUGUGGAGGCUAUAUACAGGGAGUACCAGUACGGAGUCAAUGUGGAGACUGUAUACAGGGGGUACCGGUUCAGAGUCA
rnacentral:lncRNA from 1 species